UAUAGAGGUCUCAAGCGUUGUUCGGAAUCACUGGGCGUAAAGGGUGCGUAGGUGGCGGGGAAAGUCAGAUGUGAAAGCCCGGGGCUCAACCUCGGAAUAGCAUCCGAUACUACCAUGCUAGAGUACUGAAGAGGUGACUAGAAUUCUCGGUGUAGCAGUGAAAUGCGUAGAUAUCGAGAGGAAUACCAACGGCGAAGGCAGGUCACUGGGCAGUUACUGACACUGAGGCACGAAGGCCAGGGGAGCAAACGGG
rnacentral:rRNA from 1 species